AAGGUUAAACUUUCAGGGAUCGUUUCUAUAGUUUCUGACUUGACAGAAACGUGCUUCUAAAGUGUAUGGUCUUACUGACCAUGAUGAUGAUGAGUUGUGAUAUUUUCUUCAGGUUGUGAAUCUGAUAGAGGAUAGUGAUUCAUUUCAUCAUAUGUACUCUAUCAUUGAUGAUUGUUUGCGUUUUUUAUAUAAAGUCAGGCUCAAGGUAAUAUGGUCUUAGUGGC